GAUGAACGCUGGCGGCGUGCCUAAUACAUGCAAGUCGAGCGAAUGGAUUAAGAGCUUGCUCUUAUGAAGUUAGCGGCGGACGGGUGAGUAACACGUGGGUAACCUGCCCAUAAGACUGGGAUAACUCCGGGAAACCGGGGCUAAUACCGGAUAACAUUUUGAACCGCAUGGUUCGAAAUUGAAUGGCGGCUUCGGCUGUCACUUAUGGGUGUACCCGCGUCGCAUUAGCUAGUUGGUGGGGUAACGGCUCACCAAGGCAACGAUGCGUAGCCGACCUGAGAGGGUGAUCGGCCACACUGGGACUGAGACACGGCCCAGACUCCUACGGGAGGCAGCAGUAGGGAAUCUUCCGCAAUGGACGAAAGUCUGACGGAGCAACGCCGCGUGAGUGAUGAAGGCUUUCGGGUCGUAAAACUCUGUUGUUAGGGAAGAACAAGUGCUAGUUGAAUAAGCUGGCACCUUGACGGUACCUAACCAGAAAGCCACGGCUAACUACGUGCCAGCCGCCGCCGUAA
rnacentral:rRNA from 1 species